AGCUGACAGCACUAGAGAGCUGAGCCCAAAAACUGCAGCCAUGGAUGAAGACCUCAAGAGGCCAGACCCACAGAAGCUGUCCCCAUGUGCAUAACUCCCUGACCCUGACACCUAAAUUGGCUAGACCCACCCAUCACUCAGGGCACACCAAUGCUUGGUCUGCACUUCUCAAAAGAAAACUAAACAUCAAGUCAUUUCCCCACGUUGCUGGUAUGUGGCUCAAGGUGACCUCUCUUGCCUGGAGAGGUGCUGGGUUUGAACAUGACUGCGCCAUCCAGACCUUGACCAGUUCCAGCCUCGAGGGGGAUCUGGAGGUCUGGAGCCAUGGCAUGGAAGGCCUUGUCAGAGCACCAAGCAGUCCCAUGUUGCCAGAGGAGUUCAGUUGCCUGGUGACAGACACCAGGCUCACUCAUCCCUCAAAGUCUACUGACUUUAAAGUUGUAGUCAAGACUUUCCUUAUUAAAUAUCCUUUCAUAUAGCAAAACCAGCAAUAUUCUGAGAUAUCAAGCUAUAGCAUAAAGUUGCCACUGUAUCUACCUGUAGAAACAGAUGUUACCUCAUAAAGCCUCAGACGCCCCCACCCCCAAAUACCCUUUAAUUUAACCUAAAUGACCAGCUUCCUCCAUCACUGUUACCUUCUCUUGAAUAUUGGCAUAGAUCCUGUGUUUCUCCCAGUAAGGGAGCUCUGCUGCUGACUCCCAAUUGACUCUGUGCUAUGUUAUACAUGCCACUUGGUCCACUUUGGCUUGCUUUCCUGACUCUGUUGUACUUCAGAAAUGUUCCUUCUUAUGCCCAACUUUGCAUAUUGUUUUCUUUCCAGUUUCAACUAACUCAGUUCUGGCCACACCAAUUCUUAGAGCCAUCUAUCUGUACUUCGGAAUCAGUUGAGUUUCUUUUGCAAGUAAUAGAGACCACUUCUGAGUAGCUCAAGCAAAAGAAGAAAUUUAUUGGAAAGAUGGUGGGAUUUAUCACAGAAUUCCAGAAAGAACCAGGCAAGUAAAACUUCAGAAGGGAAGAAAGAAGGGCAGCUCUAGUGACUUCAGCGACAAGACAAUGUAAAUGUCCUCGUUAGAGUGUCGCUUUUGUUAUUGAGCUGCAAGGACUCCUACCCCAUUAGAGAUUUGAUUGAAAAUUCUCAUUUCCCACAGAGAAGAAUAUGACUGGCCCAGUUUGGCUUUGGUCACCCAAUUUCCCUAUCCUGAAUGAAAUAUUAGUAGUCAGGAGGACAGGGCAUAUCAUAGAAACUUACCCACUUUCUCUGGAGAAGGGUCUGGGCAUCAGAGACCUCUUUCUCUAAGAAAGAAUGAUUGUGAGCUGAGAAGCAUAAUAAGUUCUUUAUAUAGCUAGUUCUCAGCCAUACUUUAUUAUUAUCUGCUUUUUAUAGUAUAUACUUUUUAGAAAGUAUGUCUUUCCUGGGCUGGAAUGUUAAGUUCUUCCAUGGUGAAAUGGGGCUAUGUGUCCUUGCUUCUCGUCUUACUCAACUGGUGAGUUUCCAGUAGAGGCCUGAUUAGCCAAGCCAGCUAAGACCAUGCCAACUCUCAGAUGGUAAGUUUAACUUGGCUAACAUUCUUUCCCUAAACCUAGUACUUAAUAAACACCCAAUAUACACCAAGGUGCAUGAGAGGCAUUGAGUAUUUAAGAUAAAUUAGACAUGACCACUGUUCUUAAGACAUAUAACCUAGUAGGUUUUCUAUAUGAUUUUAACUAACAAAUACUUUAAACAAAUCAUAUCAGAUCCAUCUUAAGGGUUCCCAGAAGCUGGGAAGUUUCUAUCUGGUCUAUCACACGGAUUUUAUUUCAGGCAACAAUUCGGAUAAUCACCAUAAAGUACAGGUUUCUGAUAGAUCCUCUUUCCCAGCUUCUACCCUUAAAAUAGUGUGUUUGGUUAUCAUCCACCAAAACUGCCAUUUGGAGCUAAAAGAAAUAUACAAAAAAAUGUUAUUUUUUUCCUCUAUCUAAGAUGACAUUGGAAAGCCAUGUAUAUUUCUCCACUUUGUUACCCACAUUUUCACAUUGUGUUCAUAGGUGUUAUUCUAGAGUUGUUAUGCUACUCUGGUACUAUGUUAAGUGCUUCUCUAUGACUUACUGAGUUUACAUGAAAACUGUUACAGUAGAAAGAGGCUCCAGAGUAAGCCACACUCAGGUUUAAAGCCUGGUUUUAUAGCUUACGUGCAUUAUGGCUUUGGGCAAAUUACUUUCUGAGACUUGGUUUCUUCAUCAGCAAAAUGGGAUAAUAAUAUCUGCUUGAUAUAGUUGUCAUGGGAAAUAAAUGAGAUCAUAUAUGUGAAAGGGCUUGACACGUAGCAGACCAAUCAACGUACAUUUAUUUCCUUGCCUCCAACAAGGUAAAACCAUGAGCCUUCUUCCCUGGCCAGCUUCAUACUGUGGCUGUUCUCUUUUGUCUCCUAUCCUGUGAUAACCAGCAGUCCAGGAGGGGGGCAGGGUGGGCUCCUAUUACUCCUGAGAUCACUGGCUCGAUGCUCUCCAGUGACUUCUGAGGGUGUAUGGCCAGGGGUAGUCAUACUCUCAGUAUCCUGAGCAUAAGCUAAAACUACAGAACAAUAUUCCCACAGCUGCUGGCACAGCUUUGCAUAUUCUACAGAGGCUUACUCUGCAUUUUGUUUCAAUAUGCAGAUAAAGAUGCUUAAUAUAAGGAACUGCCACUGAUUUAUCAAACAGUGGCUCCUCUAAUGGUUUGUAUUUCUUUAAACAAGUGGAUGAAUGAACAAAUUUGGCCUUGGGAUGCCAUUCAGCUCAAAGUUGGUGGCAAUCGCAAAUGGCUUUAAUAAAUGAAAGAGAUAUUUUGGCAUAGCCCAUUGAGGCAAAUGAAAACUAAUGCCCUUGCCAGCAUCAUAGAGUAUAUUAGAUACUUUACUUUAAUUGCUCCUUAUGAAUGGAGGGAAUGCAGGAAAUGGAAUUUUAAUUUGUACAUCUAAGCCAUGCUAUUGAAGGCGAAGGUCUUUGUGACCUUAUUGAUUUGAGAAAAAAACUUUAUAAGGCAUAGCUGAAAUUGGCAUAAAAGUUAUGUCCCAUGGCUGACAUUGCUGCUGUUUGAUGCUUGCUGUCAAAUUGUAGAAAAGCAAGACAUGAAUCCCUGAGUGACUUUCUGUGCGUGCGUUUGCCAACAAAUAAGGCUCAGUCUAGCUGGAACCGUGUGGUGUUCAGAAGCAAUGGAAACAUAGUCUGUUUGUGUUCUGUCCCCCAUUGUGAGUUCUAGAGUCGGUGGUAGCUUUAGCUGUUUAUACAUCUCUUGCUUGAUAAUCAGACACAGACUAUGUGUUCUGUAGACAUAUUGACAUAUUCUGUCAAGCCCUGGGGGCUUCCAGCAUGAAAUAAGAAGAAAGCCCUAUACUGGUAUUGGCAUUUCAUUUUCAGAAAAGCAAGGAGAAGGGAAAAAGAGCAUGCUGGGAUGGAGUAGCUUCUUUUUUUUUUUUUUAAGGUUUUAUUUUUAAGUAAUCUCUAUACCCAAUGUGGGGCUUGAACUUACAACCCUGGGAUCAAGUGUCACGUGUUCUACCAAUCUAUUCAACCAGGUGACCCUGUAAUAACUUCUUUACUUCACCUUGUGAUCAUCCUUCACAGCACUAUGCUGACACACCCUCAGAUGUAGUGUUUGAUGCUAGAACUCUGUCUUCAUUUCAACUCGGGGUUCCCAUGACUUACUCUACGGAUGCAUGCAGUUCACUAUGUCUUCCAAUCUGCAGCUGUGCUACAGGUACGUCUCUGCCUUUGCUCACACAGUUCUCAGACCAUCUUGGUUACCCAAAGAUAAGCAGUUUGACAUGUGUAUCAAGCAAUCUAAUCUCUGUUUUCAUCCCUAAUUCCCCAAAAUGAGUUCAUUUCUCACAGUAUAUAAAUAGAUAUUUGAUGUACAUCUGACAUAUCAUAUGCCUGAGAAGUCUGAUACACAUACACAGCAUAUGAGGAGCCACAUGGUACGAUGAAAAGAGGCAUUAGGCAAAAAGAAAAAAAAACAAAAAGAUGUAGGACUUUGCUUCCCACUAAUUGUGUGAUUUUGCGUAAAUAAAUGAUGUGUCCUCUGUGAACCUCUCCCUUCUCACCAUUAAAGUCCAGAAACAAAAUAUUAUAAAAAUCAAAUGAGAUCAUUAUAAAAAGUAUUUGCAAGCUAUUAAGUAAGACCUGGAUAAAUGGGAGGCAAUAUUUUAGUACCUACUUUGACCUGACCACACUGAUGGUCAUUAUAAAAGAUGAAGAAAUAAAAGACGCAGUACCUGCCUUUGUAGGAUUUAUAACCUGCACAGGAAGAUCACACAUAUACACGUGUAAGAUAAUUAGUCAUUCAUGUCAUUAUAAACUGAUGCAUAUAAUGGAGGCAGAUGGUAUUCCUCAUGAUAAUAGUUCAAAACAAUUGAAAUCUUGUACGUUAGGGCACUAACAAGAUGUUAUUAUUAGUGAUGAGCAUUAUCAUCAUUUCCCAUAUCCCAUCAUAUAGAUUAUUUUAGGCAUUAUCCUUACCUUUCUUUAUGUCCUAGCUUAGGUUCCAGAUAAAUCUACAUUUAGACUGGAAUGAAAUAUCCUUCAUUUAUUUGGUUCCUUUGUAUGUCCUGUUUAUUUCCCAACACCUAAAACAAUGUCUCAAUAAAUACCAUUGAAUGUAUGGAUAAAUCAGUUCAUCAAGCCAUGAAUAAAGAAGCAGCUUUUCAUUUGGGUCCACACAGGUACUUUGUAAUUCUGGAGAAAACAAUAAAAAUGAUGGAAGUAGGACCGGCAUACACACACACACACACACACACACACACACACACUAGCUUAGUCAUAUAGAGACGUAUCAGAAUUGAAGAAGGCAAGUGAGAAGGCUGGAAGGCAGACUUUGAAAAGGUUAUCCAGGCAACUCUGUUAAUCUCUCAGAUCCAGUGGGAACCACUAGUCUAACAUAUUUAGGAGCUCUACCUCUCUAACAUGAUGUGCUAACCAAAUGGGCACCUUUCAUGGACUGUCUCCUGCCUUCUGAUUCCUUUUAGCUCCUAGAAUUCUAUGCUAUUACCAAAGUUGCUUAAGGUUAGUGUGUGAACUUAGGUAUGAUUGGAUAGUCAAUUCUUUUAACCUGGACAUUGUACUGAAAGAGUAGCUGGAAGUAUGUAAAAACAAACUCUUAACCCAUUGAUGUUUACCUAUUGCUGGUAAUAAUCAGUUCUGAUGGAGUUGUUUUCUGUGAAGAUAAAGUACUCUAAUCAGUUUCAAUGUGAUACUUAACCCCUCAGGCCAGAGCAUAUGGUUGUCAUUGUGCAGCUGUGCCGGUAGAAUAGUUUGGACCAUCUGAAUGUUCCAUUUUUAUGUACUUGCUGACCACCCAUUAUCUGUAAAGGAUAAUCAGUUUUUUAUUUCCUUCUUAGUUUAUAAGGAACAAAAGCCGCCUUAUUGCAAACAGUUUGAGAAAAAGCAAAAUGUGAAGAAUGAGUGCCUUGCCUUGUCUAAUGACGAGUGCCUUGCCCUAGUGCUUGAGCCCCAGUUGUCACCCUCCCCUCACUGUUUUCAAAUAUUUUUGCAAAAAAGGCAUAAAAAAAAUCAAGAUGUUGCAUGUGGAAUGUAAGGAAACCACAAUCUUUAAAGAUAAAGGCAUUGAAAGAUGGUUUACAUCCCCAAAUGAGAAUAGAUAGGGUUGGAAAUUAAAACAAUCUUUUUUAUUUUAGAUGGAAAUACUAGCAGAUGUCACCAGAAACAUAUGGAGCUAGUCACAGACAAAUAGAGAGCACUUUUUGUGCGUGGAGUAUAGCCGAGGGAAUGCCACCUUGGACUAUUGGGGAGGACAACGAGCCAGCAUGGGCCAGGAUUCCAGGGAGGAGUUUGCAGAGUCCAGCAUCUUGCCUCAAUGAAACAGUAUUAACGUUGUGACUCAGUAAUUUAAAUAUUUCUUGUCAGCCAGCUUCAGGACACUAUCCAUAAUUAUAUUUAUUUCACAAUAGAUUGAUUCCAGACAUCUUUUUAAACCUGCUCUCCAUUGGAUGUGUACAUUGUUAUGUGUUCCCUCUCUCGGUGUGAAACAAAAUAGACGGGCAGAAAAAAAUGGGAUAUGGACAUGUUGUCCACAAGGCAUUUCCCACCCCAGACAUCUCUCGACCCUCUGCUAGCUUGUUAAUUUAUUGUUACAGCUUGUCUGUCAAACCAGGAAGACAUUAUUCGACAGUCUAGAUAUUUUUCUAACGCAGUAUUUUUAUAUGUUUUCCUUGAUUUUGAAAAAUAUGACCACUGGUAUUCUGCUAGA
rnacentral:lncRNA from 1 species